UACGUAGGUGGCAAGCGUUGUCCGGAAUUAUUGGGCGUAAAGGGCGUGUAGGUGGGAUUUUAAGUCAUGUGUCUAAGUGCGGGGCUCAACCCCGUAUAGGCGCAAGAAACUGAGAUUCUUGAGUGCAGGAGAGGAAAGUGGAAUUCCCAGUGUAGCGGUGAAAUGCGUAGAUAUUGGGAGGAACACCAGUGGCGAAGGCGACUUUCUGGACUGUGUCUGACACUGAGGCGCGAAAGCUAGGGGAGCGAACGGGAUUAGAUACCCCGGUAGUCCUAGCCGUAAACGAUGGGUACUAGGUGUAGAGGGUAUCGACCCCUUCUGUGCCGGAGUUAACGCAAUAAGUACCCCGCCUGGGGAGUACGGCCGCAAGGUUGAA
rnacentral:rRNA from 1 species